ensembl:lncRNA
ACACACACACACAUCCUGUGAUAUAUGUGUGUGUGUACCACAGAGUUGUUUAUGAAACAGACAACUGCAUACCAGAGUGAAGUGGACCAGCUAAAACCCCACACGGGGAUGAGGGUAUAGGGACUGGAAUCGCUCUUUCUUUCACCAUCUCUCUCUCUCCCUCUCUAUUUCUUUCUUUCUCUAUCUCUCCAAACACCAUGGAUCUCUUUCUCUCUCUCUUUUCUCUCUUCUUUCUCUUUUCUCUCUCUCUUUGAGUGGGGGAGCAGAAAGAGAGAGUGGUAGAGAAUGGGAAGGGGAUGGGGAGAGCAGAAAGAGAGAGUGGUAGAGAAUGGGAAGGGGAGUGGGGGAGCAGAAAGAGAGAGUGGUAGAGAAUGGGAAGGGGAGUGGGGGAGCAGAAAGAGAGAGUGGUAGAGAAUGGGAAGGGGAGUGGGAGUGGGAGUGGGGGAGCAGAAAGAGAGAGUGGUAGAUAAUGGGAAGGGGAGUGGGAGUGGGGGAGCAGAAAGAGAGAGUGGCAGAUAAUGGGGAAGGGGUUAGGCUACUGUACUGCUGAUGUGACACAAUGCAGGGUGUGUGUGUCUGUUUCUGUGUGUGUGCAUGUGUCAUUGUUAGCUCAAGCAGUCCCCCUCCUCCUUAUCUCGGUGCAUUUGCAUAGUUAGUUACCGGAGAUAAACACGAAGCCGAGGGAGGCUUGUUCUUGGAGAGAUAGUAGACGGGCCGCCCGGUGGAAACGGGAGUGGACCCGCGGGACUCACCGCAUGUCAUUGCGAUGGCUCAUUUACAUGAGUUGUUUAUUUCGGUCUUUCUCAGAACGGAAGCCCGUUGGCCGAAAGUCAGAAGUCGCGCGCAACUUCGUUAGGUUAUUACGCAGUCUACUGCAACUAGACAAUAGGUGACGUUCUCUCAGAUAUAUGUAGCAUGUUGUUGGAUAGAAUUGGCAGAAAAGCGAUGAAUCUAACGGCUCUUUUGAAAGAUUUCAGUUUGUCUUUCAAAGAAAAACUCCACCCAAAAACGAUACUUUGGUAUUUGUUUCAUUAGUCGUUGUUGAUAUAGGCCCCAAAAUAUGUUGCUUGUCAACAAUCAAAUUUUCAAGAUAAUAUAACUUUCAAAAUAUAGAAAUACAGCCGGUAUGAUGCAUUCUGGUUUUGUAGUUUUUAGGUGGAAUUUUCCUUGAAGCAUACGACGAAGAGAGAGAGGGAGAGUUAUAUCGGUGUGCAAGAUAAUGGGGAUGAGGGGAACCCCGAAGCCACACACACACACACACACACACACACACACAGUUAUAUAAGAAUGGACAGGGGAUAGCCAUACAGUGCAGAUCACUAAAAUCCGGUCUGGAAUACACGAGGACUCGGUUCUCAUUUUAGGUUCAUGAUUCAACCUAAGAGUAACAGGACAAUAAAGUUAUAAAUAGGCCUAUAGAUGAUUGUUUUUAAAUUGUAGUAUUAUAACCAUGGAAACGCGCAUUAACAUUACGCUAACCAUAGUUUAAUACAGCAAAGGCGAAGUCAACCAAUGUGCGUAAAGUUGCCUAUGGAGAAACGGGCGGUAUGUAGGCUACACGCUCUGAAUGUCCUGGCAAACAGCGAGCUACCGUAUAGGCUACCGUAUAGGCUACCGUAUAGGCUACCGUAUAGGCUUCAGUAUAGGCUACAGUAUAGGCUACAGUAUAGGCUACCGUAUAGGCUACCGUAUAGGCUACAGUAUAGGCUACAGUAUAGGCUACAGUAUAGGCUACCGUAUAGGCUACCGUAUAGGCUACAGUAUAGGCUACAGUAUAG